CGGCGAGCGGCGGACGGGUGAGUAAUGCCUAGGAAUCUGCCUGGUAGUGGGGGAUAACUCGGGGAAACUCGAGCUAAUACCGCAUACGUCCUACGGGAGAAAGCGGGGGAUCUUCGGACCUCGCGCUACCAGAUGAGCCUAGGUCGGAUUAGCUAGUUGGUGAGGUAAAGGCUCACCAAGGCGACGAUCCGUAGCUGGUCUGAGAGGAUGAUCAGCCACACUGGAACUGAGACACGGUCCAGACUCCUACGGGAGGCAGCAGUGGGGAAUAUUGGACAAUGGGCGAAAGCCUGAUCCAGCCAUGCCGCGUGUGUGAAGAAGGUCUUCGGAUUGUAAAGCACUUUAAGUUGGGAGGAAGGGCAGUAAGUUAAUACCUUGCUGUUUUGACGUUACCGACAGAAUAAGCACCGGCUAACUUCGUGCCAGCAGCCGCGGUAAUACGAAGGGUGCAAGCGUUAAUCGGAAUUACUGGGCGUAAAGCGCGCGUAGGUGGUUUGAUAAGUUGGAUGUGAAAGCCCCGGGCUCAACCUGGGAAUUGCAUCCAAAACUGUCUGACUAGAGUAUGGCAGAGGGUGGUGGAAUUUCCUGUGUAGCGGUGAAAUGCGUAGAUAUAGGAAGGAACACCAG
rnacentral:rRNA from 1 species